GCUAAGCUACUGCGGAGGACAU
rnacentral:rRNA from 1 species